rnacentral:lncRNA from 10 species
ACGGGGAGCAGGGCCCCAUCUGGACGUUCCCCCCUACCAUCCGGCCGAGUCCACACAGCAAGCUUCACAAGGGGACGGCCCUGCACAGUUCACAGAAGCCUGCGGAGCCCGUCAAGAGGCAGCCGAGGUCCCAGUGCCUGUCCACGCUGGUCCGGCCCGUCUUCGGAGAGGUGAGGAUGGGGCUGGGACUGGGCCUGGAGUCCCGUCAAGGACAAGGCUGUGACACUGUUGCACGGAGAUGUCUCCCUCACAGCACUGUGGGGUGGUUUCAGCUUCUAGCUUUCCUGCAGCUGAUUGUGGGCUGGGUUUUCUGAGUGGAAGGAGCAGAAUCUGCUGCAAUGACUCCUUUUGUACUCCCAGACCUGCCAAGGUUCUCUGGGUUCCUAGGGUGACUUUUUUUUCUUCAGGUGCAAACACAGAUGAUCCUUCUAUAGAGAAAGCAGAGAAGGUUUAGUCGGGGUCCAUCCCCGGGCAGGUGCCGCCCUGGUUAGUCACGUGACCCUGCAUCAACGUCACCUGCUGAUGGGCAGUCAGCACCGUCCUCAGAAAUGUGAUACAGCCAGGAUCUGUGUGCCCAGGGCGUGGCCAGCGGGCUUGGGCCCAGGUGUGCCCUCCAGGAGCCCCACCUGGAGCCUGGGGAGGGAGGAUGGAGGAUGUGGGUGAGAGGUGGUGAAGGCAGGGCCUGCCUGAGGACGGCAAAGGGAGGAGCACGGUCGAGGGACGUUGGCCCCAGCCCAUGUGGAGGCCCCAGCGGGAAGCAGCCACUCGGGUCCAGGUCCUGGGCAGCCUGCUGAUCCAGCCACAGCCCCCCGAGGGUGGGUGACACCCGGUGACAGGAGGCUCAGAUGCUGGUGUCCUGAUGGAGGUCAGAUCUGGGCCUGGCGGUGCCGUGUGCUUUGGGGGUUUCUGGGCUUCGUGUUUUUGGGUCUGAUUAGACCCAUUGAGUGGCUUCCAUGACCCUCGGCUGGGAGGAAGCCAUCUGGUCCCCUCCUGAGAACCGAGGUCCGAGAUUCCCCGGAGUGUAGGGGGAAGGUAGGUGCUGUGGGGAAGGACCACUAGGGUCCCCGUUGGCAGGGCAGGGGCAGAGGCUUCCUUGGGCCACCUCACUUCCCGGCUUGCUGAAGGGCUCCCGGGUGUGGCUCCUAGGCGAGAGCCCUGAAGGCCUCCGGCAUCACUGUGGCCGAGCAAAGGAGCAGGCUCCCUGAAGGCCUGUCCUGGGGUCCAGGGUCAGGCGUGGUGGUCUUUUCACAGCUCAAAGAGAAGCACAAGCAGAGCGGCGGGAGCGUGGGUGCGCUGGAGGAGCUGGAGAACGCCUUCAGCCUGGCCGAGGAGUCCUGCCCCGGCAUCUCAGACAAGCUGAUGGUGCACCUGGUGGAGCGAGUGCAGAGGUUUUCACACAACAGAAACCACCUGACAUCCACCCGCUGAAGCGCACUGCUGUUCAGAUAGGGGACGGAAGGUCGUUUGUUUUUGUUCUGAGCUCCAUAAGAACUGUGCUGACUUGGAAGGUGCCCUGUGCUAUGUCGUGCCUGCAGGGACACGUCGGAUCCCGUGGGCCUCACAUGCCAGGUCACCAGGUCACCGUCUCCUUCCACCCCUGCAGUGUGCUGUUGUGCACGUCAGGGACGCUGUUCUCUAUGCCCACUGCCCUCCUCCCUCUCCUGGCCCAGCAGUAUUGCUCACGGGGGCUCCAGCCGCCGGCGUGGCCCUCAUGAGCUACGCCUGGGUCUUCUGCAGACUCAUGCAGCCCUAUGGCCGCUCAGACCAAGGCGCAGAGCAACUAUCAGGGCAGCUCUGCCUCCUCCUCCCAUGAGGUGGGGAGAGGCAACAGGGCAGCCCCCAGAGGAGUGUCCUGGCCGCUGUCCUCCCGGGGCCCAUGAUGGCCAUAGAUUUGCCUUGUGGUGUUGGAUCAGGUACUGUGUCUGCUCAUAAGUACUUGUGUCAUCCAGAAUGUUUUGUUUUUUAAGAAAAUUGAAUUACUUGUUUCCUGAAAUAUUCUGAGGUUAAUAUGUUAGUUUUCAUAGAACAUUGAGAGGCCCCUGCC